UCGAUUCCCUUAGUAGCGGCGAGCGAAACGGGAAGAGCCCAAACCAACAAGCUUGCUUGUUGGGGUUGUAGGACACUCUAUACGGAGUUACAAAGGACGACAUUAGACGAAUCAUCUGGAAAGAUGAAUCAAAGAAGGUAAUAAUCCUGUAGUCGAAAAUGUUGUCUCUCUUGAGUGGAUCCUGAGUACGACGGAGCACGUGAAAUUCCGUCGGAAUCUGGGAGGACCAUCUCCUAAGGCUAAAUACUCUCUAGUGACCGAUAGUGAACCAGUACCGUGAGGGAAAGGUGAAAAGCACCCCGGAAGGGGAGUGAAAUAGAACCUGAAACCGUGUGCUUACAAGUAGUCAGAGCCCGUUAAUGGGUGAUGGCGUGCCUUUUGUAGAAUGAACCGGCGAGUUACGAUUUGAUGCAAGGUUAAGCAGUAAAUGUGGAGCCGUAGCGAAAGCGAGUCUGAAUAGGGCGUUUAGUAUUUGGUCGUAGACCCGAAACCAGGUGAUCUACCCUUGGUCAGGUUGAAGUUCAGGUAACACUGAAUGGAGGACCGAACCGACUUACGUUGAAAAGUGAGCGGAUGAACUGAGGGUAGCGGAGAAAUUCCAAUCGAACCUGGAGAUAGCUGGUUCUCUCCGAAAUAGCUUUAGGGCUAGCCUCAAGUGAUGAUUAUUGGAGGUAGAGCACUGUUUGGACGAGGGGCCCCUCUCGGGUUACCGAAUUCAGACAAACUCCGAAUGCCAAUUAAUUUAACUUGGGAGUCAGAACAUGGGUGAUAAGGUCCGUGUUCGAAAGGGAAACAGCCCAGACCACCAGCUAAGGUCCCAAAAUAUAUGUUAAGUGGAAAAGGAUGUGGCGUUGCCCAGACAACUAGGAUGUUGGCUUAGAAGCAGCCAUCAUUUAAAGAGUGCGUAAUAGCUCACUAGUCGAGUGACACUGCGCCGAAAAUGUACCGGGGCUAAACAUAUUACCGAAGCUGUGGAUUGUCCUUUGGACAAUGGUAGGAGAGCGUUCUAAGGGCGUUGAAGCAUGAUCGUAAGGACAUGUGGAGCGCUUAGAAGUGAGAAUGCCGGUGUGAGUAGCGAAAGACGGGUGAGAAUCCCGUCCACCGAUUGACUAAGGUUUCCAGAGGAAGGCUCGUCCGCUCUGGGUUAGUCGGGUCCUAAGCUGAGGCCGACAGGCGUAGGCGAUGGAUAACAGGUUGAUAUUCCUGUACCACCUAU
rnacentral:rRNA from 1 species